GCAGACCCAGUUGUUGGGUAGCCACCCAUGCACGUUGACACAGCCAGCACCGAGCACCCAGGGGGAUGGAACCAGGAAUGGAGGAUGGUCCAAUAGGGUAGCAUCAUGAAGGCAGUUUACCCCUGAAACUUUUUACAAAGGACCAUCAUCGUCAGAGAAGUUCCUUUAACCCUUUAUCUCCCAUAGCGGCCGUGAACGCCCGGCCACCUCUCUCCCAUAACGCCCGCCGACACCCGGAGUAUUUUCAUAGCUGAACAGAAGUCAUCAUGCAGUUUCUACAGCUUUCACUUUAGAUCACUAUUACAGACUCUCAAUAUAUUUUUAUUAUAAAAACUAUUUUGGGAAAUCCUGAACUACAGUGCAAAGUGGCUGAGCUCAAAAGUACGGGCUCGCUGCUGCUGCCCAGUAGAAAAUAUCUUUUAAAUGCAGUACAGUUCCUAAUUGUGCGUUCAUGUGGUAAUUACGUAAAUACCAAACACUGACAUCCGAAGCACACAUGAACGCCACCGGCCCUUGUAGAAAAUUUUGAUUAAUGAAUGCAAAUAUCUCUUCUCUUGCCUACCUCUCUUCUCCACAAGCUCUCCCCUCAUCUAAUCUCUUCGUUUUGCUAGUCCUCAUCUCUCUUUCUUCAUUGUGUUACUG